CGCCCAGGAUUCUCUUCAAUCACGCAUAAAUCUUUCGCCUUUAGCUAAAGAUUUCUGUGGAAGAGAUUAUUAAUGAGGUACUUUAUUUUUAUGAGCUUUGCAUCUGCAACACU